GUGAAUCAUCGAAUCUUUGAACGCAUAUUGCACUCUCUGGGAUUCCGGGGAGUAUGCCUGUUUGAGGGUAAUUAAGAAGAAUCUGUAACCAAUUUUUUUGGUAAAAGGAUAUGAGUGCUUCGCGUUUAUAGCGGUAGCUUUGAAUAAAUGGUCAAGUAUAAUUUUAGUCUAGACGCGUAAUAAUAUUAUGUCGCGAAAUCUUGAUUAUGUGACUAUCAAGUUUUGAUUAAUAAAAUUUG
rnacentral:misc_RNA from 1 species